UACAGAGGCCACGAGCGUUAGUCGGAAUCACUGGGCUUAAAGGGUGCGUAGGCGGGCUUGUAAGCGUCUUGUGAAAGCCCCCGGCUCAACCGGGGAACAGCAGGGCGAACUGCGAGUCUUGAGGCAAGUAGGGGCGGGAAGAACAGUCGGUGGAGCGGUGAAAUGCGUAGAUAUCGACUGGAAUGCCGAUGGUGAAGACGUCCCGCUGGGCUUGUCCUGACGCUGAGGCACGAAAGCGUGGGGAGCAAACAGG
rnacentral:rRNA from 1 species